GAUAAACGCUGGCGGCGUGCUUAACACAUGCAAGUCGAACGAAGUUUUUCCUUCGGGAGAAACUUAGUGGCGGACGGGUGAGUAACGCGUGGGUAACCUGCCCUGUACAGGGGGACAACAGCUGGAAACGGCUGCUAAUACCGCAUAAGCCCUUAGCACUGCAUGGUGCAUAGGGAAAAGGAGCAAUCCGGUACAGGAUGGACCCGCGUCUGAUUAGCCAGUUGGCAGGGUAACGGCCUACCAAAGCGACGAUCAGUAGCCGAUCUGAGAGGAUGUACGGCCACAUUGGGACUGAGACACGGCCCUGACUCCUACGGGAAGCAGCAGUGGGGAAUAUUGCACAAUGGAGGAAACUCUGAUGCAGCGACGCCGCGUGAGUGAAGAAGUAUUUCGGUAUGUAAAGCUCUAUCAGCAGGGAAGAAAAUGACGGUACCUGACUAAGAAGCACCGGCUAAAUACGUG
rnacentral:rRNA from 1 species